rnacentral:misc_RNA from 1 species
GAAAUGCGAUAAGUAAUGUGAAUUGCAGAAUUCAGUGAAUCAUCGAAUCUUUGAACGCACCUUGCGCUCCUUGGUAUUCCUUGGAGCAUGCCUGUUUGAGUAUCAUGAAAUCUUCAAAGUAAAUCUUUUGUUAACUCAAUUGGUUUCUACUUUGGUAUUGGAGGUCUUUGCAGCUUCACACCUGCUCCUCUUUGUUCAUUAGCUGGAUCUCAGUGUUAUGCUUGGUUCCACUCCGCGUGAUAAGUUAUCUAUCGCUGAGGACACUGUAAAAGGUGGCCAAGGUAAAUGCAGAUGAACCGCUUCUAAUAGUCCAUUGACUUGGACAAUACUUUUAUGAUCUGAUCUCAAAUCAGGUAGGACUACCCGCUGAACUUAAGC